CACUGGUACUGAGACACGGACCAGACUCCUACGGGAGGCAGCAGUAAGGAAUAUUGGUCAAUGGGCGCAAGCCUGAACCAGCCAUGCCGCGUGAAGGAUGACGGCCCUAUGGGUUGUAAACUUCUUUUGUACGGGAAAAAACCACCGGUCGUGUAUCGGUGCUGAUGGUACCGUAAGAAUAAGCAUCGGCUAACUCCGUGCCAGCAGCCGCGGUAAUACGGAGGAUGCGAGCGUUAUCCGGAUUUAUUGGGUUUAAAGGGUGCGUAGGCGGAAUAAUAAGUCAGUGGUGAAACCCUGCAGCUUAACUGUAGACUUGCCAUUGAUACUGUUUUUCUUGAGUAUGGUCAAGGCAGGCGGAAUGUGUAAUGUAGCGGUGAAAUGCUUAGAUAUUACACAGAACACCGAUUGCGAAGGCAGCUUGCUGGGCCAUUACUGACGCUGAUGCACGAAAGCGUGGGGAUCGAACAGGAUUAGAUACCCUGGUAGCCCACGCCGUAAACGAUGAUCACUAGCUGUUGGCGAUACACCGAUCAGCGGCAAAGCAAAAGCAUUAAGUGAUCCACCUGGGGAGUACGGCCGCAAGGCUGAAACUUAAAUGAAUUGACGG
rnacentral:rRNA from 1 species